rnacentral:rRNA from 1 species
AGAGUUUGAUCCUGGCUCAGGACGAACGCUGGCGGCGUGCUUAACACAUGCAAGUCGAACGGAAAGGCCCUUCGGGGUACUCGAGUGGCGAACGGGUGAGUAACACGUGGGUGAUCUGCCCUGCACUUUGGGAUAAGCCUGGGAAACUGGGUCUAAUACCGAAUAUGACCAUGCACUUCCUGGUGUGUGGUGGAAAGCUUUUGCGGUGUGGGAUGGGCCCGCGGCCUAUCAGCUUGUUGGUGGGGUAAUGGCCUACCAAGGCGACGACGGGUAGCCGGCCUGAGAGGGUGACCGGCCACACUGGGACUGAGAUACGGCCCAGACUCCUACGGGAGGCAGCAGUGGGGAAUAUUGCACAACGGGCGCAAGCCUGAUGCAGCGACGCCGCGUGAGGGAUGACGGCCUUCGGGUUGUAAACCUCUUUCAGCACAGACGAAGCGCAAGUGACGGUAUGUGCAGAAGAAGGACCGGCCAACUACGUGCCAGCAGCCGCGGUAAUACGUAGGGUCCGAGCGUUGUCCGGAGUUACUGGGCGUAAAGAGCUCGUAGGUGGUUUGUCGCGUUGUUCGUGAAAACUCACAGCUUAACUGUGGGCGUGCGGGCGAUACGGGCAGACUUGAGUACUGCAGGGGAGACUGGAAUUCCUGGUGUAGCGGUGGAAUGCGCAGAUAUCAGGAGGAACACCGGUGGCGAAGGCGGGUCUCUGGGCAGUAACUGACGCUGAGGAGCGAAAGCGUGGGGAGCGAACAGGAUUAGAUACCCUGGUAGUCC